GUCUAUUUUAACUAAACCCUAAAGCCAUCUGAAAGAGGUGUCCAAGCCUGAACACCUCCUUCCAGUUCUAACCUUAAACAAUAGUGAGUUAUCCCUAACUAGGCUUACACUACCCUGAUAGACAAUAAUGGGGGAAGGGGGCGUAGUUACUCCUCCAAGUUACUUCCUGCUGAAAUGGGAUGGCAGUAGCCUCGUGGGGUCCUGUGGGAAGAAAAUGUUAGUAUAGUGAAAGUCUCGAAUGGAUUAUAUCCAGUUCAUGUUAGAUGGGAUUUGCUUGAUUGAAGAUCUAGGUUGAAAUCCUCAACUUGAUUGAAGUCAGUAUUCGAAGCUCUGGUCGGAGUAUCAGUUGAAAUGGAGUAAGUUGCAUCCAGUGCAGUCUAGGAGGUGUGGUCCAAUUUCCUUCCGGAGCGUCCAGGGAUUGCUGUCAGGCAGGUCUUCAUUGGCUGUGGGGGACUCAAACAUAAUUGUUAGCAGAGAAAUGUUUGCUUGUAUAUGUAUGUAUGCUGGAAAAGGCAAUCGUGGAAAAAUAAUGAUUAUGAGACGGUGUACACCUUGAAAGAAAGAACCAAGAAAGACAAAGGCAGUCCCCAAAUUCUUCUUUCAUUCUGUAUUACAUCAAUUGGCUUCUUGAUACAAUACAGAAACUCUAAAGUUUAGUUAAACAACGUGCUUGGAUUUUAGAGAAGGAAAGCCAAAUCCAACUCUAAAUUCAGCAUUGGUUUACUUGAAUAGGGAUUAGGAAAUGAAGAGAAACAGAGUUAUUGAGAGACAGCUGUAAAGUUUACCGUAUGGCAUGUUCCUUUUGUUUGAUGGUUAUAGCUACCUUCUCUUCUUAAGCAUCUACCCAUGUAGUGUUCUUGGACUUCUGGAGAUGAGUUUUCCUGUGAAGAUAAAAACAAAACACUUCCCUUUCCUUUGGAAGGUUUUUAUUUAGUUUAUGAGAUAUACCUCAGUAAAAUAACUGUCACUUGUCCUUGUCAAGAGGUUUGUCUUUUUCAACUCAAAUUUUGAUCAACUUUGAGGGUAUCCACAGUUUUUCUUCUCUUGUGGAAACCAAUGCAAAACCCCUACCCCAAUGUAACACAUGUCCAGGCUUCCAUACCGAGGUCAGUACAUCUUUGAAGUAUACCGGCUGAUUCAGUUCAGCAGUUUUUUCUGUAGACCAGUGUCUUUCUGCAGUUGUUUGUCCUUUGUUAUUGGCAUUAAGAAAGUGUCAAUAAAGCAUUAUGCAAACUAUAAUUAGGGGUUUUGUCUUCCCAGCCUGUCUAAGGAGCAUUUCCAUAAGUGUUCUAUUAGCUCUCUCAACCACUGCUUGUCCUGUAGGAUUGUGUGGUAUACCGGUGAUAUGCUUUAUGUUAUAAUAUUUGAAAAACUGUUCCAUUUUUGUGAAGACAUAUGGUGGAGUAUUGUCAGUUUUUAUUUGUGCAUAUAUACCCAUAACUGCCAUCACCUCUAGCAGGUGUGUAAUAACAGAAUCAGCUUUUUCAGAGUUGAGAGCAGUGGCCCAUUGGAACCCUGAGAAUAUGUCUAUAGUAUGAUGCACAUAUUUCAAAUUUCCAAAUUCUGUAAAGUGAAAGACAUCCAUCUGCCAGACCUCAUUCCUCCGAAUGCCUUUAGGAUUACAGCCUGCUGGCAGUGGAGUUUGGUUAUAAAAAGAACAAGUAGGACAGUUUCUCACUAUCUCCUUGGUUUGUUGCCAAGUGAUGGAGAAGCCCUCUUUCAAACCUUUACUAUUUACAUGAUGUUUCCUAUGAAAUUCUGAGGCUUCUAGCACCUUCCAAUUAAUAAACGAUCAAUCUCAUCAUUGCCUUGUGCUAGUGGGCCUGGCAGACCUGUAUGGGAUCUGAUAUGUGUAAUAUAUAUAGGAUUACUUCUGUUUCUGAUUGUUUCCUGUAAUUGUAGAAACAAUACAGCGAAGUUAAUUCUGUAUUAUCAGAAAUGAAGUCUGCAGUCUCAAUAUGUAAGAUGACUCUCUCUGCAUAUUGGGAAUCAGUAACUAUAUUAAUAGGUCUGUAAAAUCCAUAAGCACCAUGAGAAUUGCAUAUAAUUCUGCCUUCUGUACAGAUGUAUACGGACAUUGAACUACUUUACUUACCUCACCUGCUUUAUAACCAGCCUUACCUGAUUUGUUGGCAUCAGUGUAGAAGGUAAGAACUCCAGAAAUGGGAGUUUGUCUUACAAUACGUAGAAGAAUCCAGACUGUCUUUUUUAUGAAUUAUAUUCUGUCAGUUUUGGGAUAGUUGUUGCUAAUCGUUCCCAAAAAGCCAGUAAGAGCUAUUUGCCAAUAUUCAUUAUCCUUCCAUAAGGAGGAAAUUUCUUUGUCGUGACCCUGCUUGUCUUAGCUUUAACCCACGACAACCAUGAGACACGCUGGGUCACAACAUUAAUAUGCUUAAGAUCCUUCAGCUGUAUAGGUUGCCAUACAUAAGCCACCUGUCACUGGGGGUGUUUUUUAGUUGGUGGCUUUUCUACCAUUGUUGCUGGGUAUACCAAUGGUGUACUCGUAAUGACUUUAGAAUGAUCAAGAUACCUGGGUGGAGUAGGUGCCUCGGAUUGGAGUGAUUCUGUCUCCACGUCAUCCCAACGAUCCUUGAGUCUAGUAAUGAUAUCCUCAUGAAAAGUUUCAAUCUCCUUAAUGAUAAAAGAUUCUAGGCAUGAUAGUGAAUCCGUUAAUUGCUGUGACUGCUCUUCUAUGCAGUUUUCUAGGUGUUUAAUACGUUUGUCUCUUGCUAGCAUCUGGGUGGCAUGGAGACUGCUGUCCAGGAAUUGAAGUUUAGACUCGAGGUCAUGAUUUGCCUCAGCAAUUGACCUGAUGGACCUCUCUAAUCUGUUAGCCCUGUUCUGUAGGACAUCUUCCAAACAUUCGAAUCUAGAUUCAACUCUAUCAUCUACCAUCUUGUAUUUUUCAGCCAUUGAAUUAAUGGCAUUAUGCAAUUGUUUAAGCCUAUCCUGGCUAUCUUGCAUCUUUGUAUCCAGAUUACAGGACAGAGAGCCUAUCAAAGUUUCCAAUUGGCUACAUAUAUUCUUUAGUUUAUCACAGUCCUCUGACUGCCUCACCUCUAACGCCUCUGAAAUGAAGCAUCUCUCUGCAUUUAUCUUGUCAUAAAUGCGCUGCAUUUCUGCUUGGGUAUAGACUGCUCUGCCCUUAUCAUAUAAGACAUAGAGCAAAGCCUAUCAUCUAGCUUCUGUUCUACAUGCUACAUAAAUGUAUCAUGGGUCAGUCUGGUCUCCAAAACCUCAUUACGUAAAGCUUGUAUGUCCUGUAGGCAGGUGGUAAAAUUAGCUUUAUCCCUGUUCCUGGGGUAUCUCUGGCUAGUGAUAAUGCAUGCAUUAGCACGCUAACAGCUAGUAAGGCAUACAGGCCAAUUAUUGGCAGAUCAGCACCUUCCUUGAACAUUGAAUUUACAUAAGAAGCAAAAAUGUUACCAAUUGAGGCGAAUGAUAAAUAUUCGGCCAUAUUUACCAGUCAGCUUCUACUCCAGAUGCGAUAGGAGGUUUUCAGCUGGAUGAAUCAGGCUGCGUCUACUCCAGAUGCAAUAACCACUUUUGACCAGCAGGUGGCGCGGGUGUUCAGUUGCAGUUGUUUUUGAGUUGGACCCGAAAUUUCUUGAAAAAUCCUUACAGAGCGUGUUAAGAACGGAUUGGGGCUCUGUUUACUAGGUGUGGGAAAACCUUCAAAGAACAGUACUGGGUGGAGACCAAGCUCUGCAGAUGCAGAAGGCUCAUGGCUGAGUUGGUGCAGCGGGCAGCCCAGCUGUAGGGCAGCUUUGGGACCUGGAGCUGGGAAUCUUAGCGCAGGAGGGGGACAUAGUAUGUGCAGUCUCAGCAGAGGACGCCUGGUUUUUCUGCCAGCGGUUGCAGGCCACAGAAACUGCAGCGGCAGUAGCGCUUUUUUGGCUUUGGAGGCCCGCACAGAAAGGAAAACUUGCUCGGUUUGGUAAGGCAGGACAAAAUCGGCCCAGCCAUGCGGCUCUCAACUCCAGGCUGCAGGCAUGCACAGGCAGCUAGAUCUAAAUGAAUGCGUGCGGCUGAAUGCGGCUGUGGUAUUUGCUGCCUAAGGCAGUAAAAACCUCGAAGAAGCCUGUGUGAAAUUUAAAACUCUCCCAAUCGGGUGGAGCGCCAGGACUGAGUACAACAGAUGCAACAGGCGGCAGGCCAAGAAGGUUUAACUCACUGUUUUCCCUGGAACUUUGGUAGCAGCUGGUCAAGGCACAAGCAUGUAGGAUCUCUGUGCACAGGCGGGUCGAACUCAAUUGGUUGCAACACAGGGACCUGGCGUGCAGUAGUGUCGUAGAGCCCUAUUGGGUCACGCGGCUUCUGGGCUGUGUGGCCUUUCCAGGCCUUUCGGCUCCAAAAGCAGAGGCCCCCCAGAAUGGGGCUUGAUCUGAGCACAGA
ensembl:lncRNA